CGCUCAGCAUGUGGGUUAAAGGUCAUUCGAGGGCCCAGCUUGUUCCUCACGGCCAAAACUCCACCGUACCAUUUUAAAUCGCUCGAAAGUUAACACAAAAGUUCAGGAGCUUACAAAGCGCAGCUUGCCCGGUCCGCCUUCUGGCCAGAACCCUGUCCUUCCUGGAACCGGAUCCAGCACGUCGCAGCAGUUUCUGUUUCUGCAGCUGGACGGAGGAAACAUUUACGAAGCUGACAGAGUUCCUGCUGAGUUUAGUUUAGUUUGUUGUCGUCUGAGCCGAGCGGGCGACCGAACACAAGAAGCUGGUUUGCUUUUGAUGAUCAGAAAACAAAUCAAUCUAAUAAAGCCAGAGGUCCGGAGCAACGAGGGGUUAAGAGUCCAGCUCAGGGACACGUCACAGUGGGAAUCAAACCCCGGUCUCUCACACCAGAGCCAUGUGUCUCAUCCACUGCACCAUCGCCACCCCACAAUAAAUCCAUCUAAUAAAUGGGCCAAAUGUUUGUCUCUUACUUUUAGUCCAGGUCGGGCUGGUGGAGUCCCGGAGACCGCCGCGUUCAGAGCCUGCUCCUCUUUUGGUAAAGAGGUUUAGAAGAUGUCGUGGACUCUCCUGGUCCAGGUGUUCUGCAGAUGUUCUGAACUUGUUGUCAGGGUAACCGUGUGGAUCAGCUUUAGAUGCUGCACUUCCUCAUUUUUUCAUCCCUUUCAGCAGUACGAAGAUGGCAGGACGGCGUUACUGUCCGUGAUGCGUUGACACGUCAGCGUGACGCAGAGAAGCAGAGCUCCAACCGUCUGGAUGAAAUCUGGCGGUGAUCAGCACGAUGACCUGCUCGCUGUGGGUCUGCUGAAGGAGAGCGAUGAACUUCAGCCUGGGUGUCCUGGGGGGUCAGAGCGUUCUGCAGAGACCACGUUGUGAUCAGCGGGACAUGAGCUCGGUCGUUUGCAUCAAGUACUACUAGCAGCAGGCUUAUGUGGGGACACUCCAUCUUUUCUGAGGACGUUGAAAAGGAUCUGACAGUUUGUGUUUCGGGUUGGAUUUGACAUGAAAUGCAGCAACACAGUGGAGUGAUCGCUGAUCUGGGAUCAUCACACUGCGGAGGAGUGCCGCCAAAUACAAUCUGCGGAAGUAAACCGGAAGUUGUCGUGAGAAGUGGCAGCAGCUAACGUUAGCCGCGGACCGACAACAAAGAUCCGAUCAGACUGUUAUUAUCGAUCAUCGGCCGCUUUCCUCUCAGGUCAGACGGCGUAAACAGAGCCGUUAAAGUCCCGCUGCGGUCCUUCUUU